GACGUAGGGCGCGAGCGUUGUCCGGAUUUAUUGGGCGUAAAGAGCUCGUAGGCGGCUUGUCGCGUCGUCCGUGAAAACCUGCAGCUCAACUGCAGGCUUGCGGUCGAUACGGGCAGGCUAGAGUUCGGUAGGGGAGACUGGAAUUCCUGGUGUAGCGGUGAAAUGCGCAGAUAUCAGGAGGAACACCGGUGGCGAAGGCGGGUCUCUGGGCCGAUACUGACGGCUGAGGCGCGAAAGCCAGGGGAGCGAACGGG
rnacentral:rRNA from 1 species